CGCGGGGGUGGCGGGCGCGGCGGGCGCGGCGGGCGCUGCGGGCCGGGCCCAGGUAGGCUCCCGCGGCGGUCCUGGCGGCGGCGGGCCAUGGUGGAGGCCGCUGGCGGGAGCUCGGCCGGGAGGGGACGCCCGCGCACGCCGGGCCCCGCGGCGCCCCGUCGUUCCCCGGCGCUUGCUUUUUAGCGACCCUCCAACGCCUCGACUCUGCGCGAUGCCGCCGAAGCAAAGUAAAAGAAAACGGAAAACGUCUGGUUUCUGGGCGUUCUCUAACAGCCGGACCGCUCACAUUCUGGAAAACCUCUGUCAACACGCUUCCACCUCCGCAAAGGAAGCCCAUUUGGAAGAAAACUCUAACACAAGUAGACUUCACUUCGUUUUACUUUGGCCUUUUAGAGAGAAUUUCCGAUUUAUUUUUGUUUUAAGUCUGAUGUGAGGGAAGGAUAAAGAGAGCAUACUCCCACCUCCUCCAACUUCCAGUGUGCUUCUAAGAACAAUUGGAGAGGUAAUAGAACUGUUAAGCAGUCUGGUGAUGGUAUCCAGCGUCAAUCCAGGAAAAUAAGAACACUUACACAGGAUGGGACAGCUAGGAUAGCACACGAAAACGUUUUUGUGGAGGAAAAAGGAUUGGGAAUGUACCUGUUGUUUUCACCCUAAACCAAAAGCUUGUUUAUUGUUACUGAUUAAAAGACUGUUUUGCAAAGAGCCCUAAGUAUUGCACCCAGAAGAUAUAAUUAAAUGUUAAUGAGCACAUCGAGUAAAUAACAAAAGCAAACCUGUCAUCUGUGGAGAACUGAAGACCUUUCAAAUGAAGGGAGAGCAAGAAAAUUAGGGAAAAUAGUAUCCUACAAAAGGUCUCAGGAAAUAAAGUAGAGAUUCUUGCCCUGGGCAGACAGUGAAUAUAAAAAGAGUUCACUGUCUGAGACUCCAAACAAAUAGAUUAUAAAAUAACAAUAGUCAGCAAAUGGGCUCAAGAAAUCUUUUUGGAGGGAUGGACAUGCUGUGAAACCAGAUUGUGGAGAUGUUUGCACAACUGUGUACAUUUACUAAAAAUUAUCGAACUCUGCACUUAUAAUGGGUGAAUUUUAUGGUACAUAAAUUGUAACUCAAUAAAGCUGUUAAAAUUAAGAAAAUAACACUAACAAGAGUCAUAUUCCAGGAAAUUACAUUUUUAUUACAAGUGAUACUGAACCUCUUAAUCUUAAAUUCCUGUGCCGAUGUGCGAUAAGCCAGUCACUGAGACACCCGUGCCUGGGGAUGGAGACAGGUUUAUUCGAAUUGGCAAAAACAAGAAGGCGGGAGGAUAGGUUCUCUCAAAUCUGGCUUAGCAGGGGGUCUUUAUAGACAUAAGCGGCUUGGGAGGAGGGGUUUCAGAGAAACAAAGGGGAAAUCCAUGUUUCUUUCACUCGAGACAAGCCUUUGGGCAAUCAGACUUCUGUGCAUCAACGGCAGCUGGGGACUGGUUAUCUGGUGAUCCUAACUUCCUUAAAUUCGUUCUUUUUCUUCUGCACAACAAGCUCAUAAAUCCUUGUGACCCUUGAGUCACCUGUCAGGUUAACCAAGAAAACGGCAAAUUAACAAGAUUAACUUCUUUUCAUCUGUGUCUGUGUUGGGAACAAGGUCGCAGGGUAAUCGUGUUCUUAUUGAGUAUCUGCAGUGACCCUCGGGUACCUGGCUUCACAAGCAAAAUCAAAAUGCUGUUUCUCCUCCUCCUGCCCAUCCUCUUCGUCUUCCUCUUGUCUUUUUUUCUUAUUUUCUCCUUAAAGUACAUCCAGAAUAUGUAGAUAACGGAGAUGGCUGCUAGAAAAUGUUCUUUUGCUAAGGAUGGAAUUUCCAGCUGGUUGUGUGAAGGGCCAGCAUCUAGUAGUGAUUUCAUGGAAAGAUCUUCGAUCAGUGCUCCUUGGAACCAAAACUUGAGAGACCUAGAUGGAGUCAAAGUCUGUGAAGCUUCUUUAUGAACAAUAGAAAUACUGAGCUUGUACAUUUCUGAACCAGUGCUAUUUUUUAAAAAAAUAUUUCAGCUUUAUUGAGGUAUAACUUUUUUUCUUUUUCUUUUUUUUUUUUAAAGAUUUUAUUUUUUCCUUUUUCUCCCCAAAGUCCCCCGGUACAUAGUUGUAUAUUCUUCAUUGUGGGUCCUUGUAGUUGUGCCAUGUGGAACGCUGCCUCAGCGUGGUUUGAUGAGCAGUGCCAUGUCCGCACCCAGGAUUCGAACCAACGAAACACCGGGCCGCCUGCAGCGGAGCGCUCGAACUUAACCACUCGGCCACGGGGCCGGCCCCUAUUGAGGUAUAAGUGAUGUAUAAUAAUGGCCUUAAUCAUGUUUGAUUAGAACUACCUGGUUGGUAGGUCAAACCCAGAAUCUGGCGCAUCUUGACCUGGAGGCCAUGCACUGGCCUGGAAGGCUAUGGAGUGAAGCCACCAUGUGAAGCUUGGAGAAGGAACACGUAACUCACAGUAUCCAAAGUUGUUCGAGUUGGGUUUUCAGCUUGCUUGUUGUCCAGGUCUUUCCUCACCUUACUUCUACAGUCAGAAGCCAACACAUUUGAACUGGGGACCAGUGACCUAGAAUAGGAGAUGAAACUGCUGUGUGUAUGGAGCCUUGGAAGAUGCAAAGAGUAACUUAACGGAAACUCGAGUGUCUCUGGAUUCCAAGCAACCAGCAUAUAUGAACACAUAGUAACCACAGUGUAUCCUGAAGGAAUAGAGAAAUGAAUAACUGAAAGUUUUCUUCAUGGAAAGAGUCUCCUGGUGUUCUAGUGACCAAAAUAGCAGAAGUAAGGGGAGAAACAAUAGAAAUACUGUUCAUACAUGAGGAACAAAGGUGCAAUAUUUUGUAAAGCAGCAAGGUUGACCCAAGAUACAUGAUGGAACAUGCUAACUAUGUUCCGCAGCAGAGCACAGGAUUCUCCGGAACCAGACUGCCUGGUUUGGAAUUCUCCUUCACCCAUUUUACUAACCCUGUGACCUAGGGCACAUUGCUUAAUGUAAGGCAAUUUGUGUCUAAAUUGACUCAUCUGUGAAAUGGGAAUAAGAAUACUAUUUCUUAUGUUGUAAAAAUUAAAUGAGUUGAUCUAUGUGAAGUGCUUAGAACAGUGCUGGACGCAUAGUAAAUAUUAUGUAAAUGGUUUAUUAUUAUUGUCACCUAUUCUUCAACUUCCCUUUUGGUGAACUAGGUUUUUGCAUCUUUCUCUAUACACCACACCCUUCCCCACUGAGACCCAUUCUUCACUGCCAAAGAUAUGUAUACUGAGCUGAGAUGCUCACUUUUGAGUGUGAAUUAUGCCUGACUUUCAUCCAAUCUUGUGGAUCCCUGGUGCCCACUGUGGAAAGUUCUGAUAAUCCACAUCAGAGGACAUUAACAUUAUGAGCAUGUUAAACCAAUUCAGGAGAUGUAUAGUAUGGAGGUUAGAGUGUAUGUUUCUACUCUCGGCUCUGUCACUAACCAACUUCAUGACCCUCCCGGGAAGGCCCCUACCCUUUCUGUAACUGAGUCUCCUCAUCUGUAAAAUAGGGAUGACUCUUGCCAUGAAUACUUGACUGGGUUUUGAGUUUCUUCCUAUUGGCAGAGCAUGAUUGCUUAGGCUCACAGUGUUUUUAGUUACUUAUGAAGUAUCUUAGAUAAACAAUGGUGACGAAGAGUCUAGGUGACAUUGGUGAAGGAAUUUGUUCAAUAAUCAGCAUGAGGACUUUGAACCCCGGGAAAACAGAUCAACAGACUGCUCUGAUGGAACUGCUCUGAGGUGCACGAGUUUAAGUGCAGCUCAUAUCUCUUUCCCAAACAGUGCACGUGCAGGGAAGAAGAAAAUACAACUAAACAAGGAUAGAGUACAUCUGGGCUUUUCUCUAGAUUAUAUAUUGAAGGUAACAUAAACAAGAGUUUCUUAGUUAUACGUCAAACAAGUUUAGAGAUGCUGACAUUAUCUAUGUGUGGAGGGAGUCAAGGACCAGGAUUGUUCAUUAUUUCCUCAAUCUCUCAGAAGCGCAGCUGGGAAAUGUGAGUGCGAGGUCCCCCUUUAUCUUUUCCUGAUGUGGAUCUGUCCAGCUGGAGUCUUCAGUCAUGAGGCGUGGGGUUGCAAGGUCAUUUUGGCACAGGCUGAAGAUGGCCAGCGUGGCUGCUUCGCAGGACAGCGUGGAUUUUAUCGUACAGACUUAAAGCCUAUGCGGUUUGCUUGUUAGAUCCGCCUGCUAGAGCAGGGAGAAGGGUCGCAAAAAUCUGUCCACAACAAAAAGGUUUAAAGAAUAAUAUAACAACACCCGAGUACUCACCAGUCUAAGAAACAAAGCAUGACAGACAGAGUGGAAGUCCUAGCUUGAAGGAUUUCACUGAUUUAUUUGGUCAUAUUUGCAUUCCUCACCAUGUUCCUGUAUUGAAACAUAUGUGUAUUUUUAUCGUUAUCGAUAUCUGGGUAAUAUAAACUGAGGCAAAGAGGCCAGGAGAAAUGAGAUCUUGACUGUUGUUCAAAAUUUAUGUAUGAUAAUGCUUAGGAAUUUCCAGGUACUUCCCUAUGACUACCCUGUGUUUAUUAGUUAGGACAUCUUCUGUGCAAGUAAAAGAAAAGCACACCUCAAACUGGCUUCAAUAAUAAAUGGAAUUUAUUGAUUUACGUAACUACAAAGUCCAGAAGUAGACUUUCAGGUCAGGCUUGUUCCAGAGACUCAACUGUGGAUCCAAGGUUCAUGGUUCUCUCUGCUCUCUGCAGUGUCUGCCUCCUCCUCUGGGUGGCCUCCUCCAGGGUGCUCAAAUGGCCCCUCGAAUGUGGCACACAUCCUCCCCCAAGCCUUGCAAGGCAGAGAGAUUGCCCUUUCCCACCAUUCCCAGCUAGAAUCCCAAAAUCCACUCAGUUUAAACGGCCUUGGACAACAUGUGCUGAAAAACAAAACAAAACACAACAAAAAGCAUUAAUUAACUUAGUCUGUGUCACGUGUUUCGCCCCUGGAGCUGGGGUGGAGUUAACCUCAGCAGAACCAAAUGCAUUCCCCAACAAAAAUUAAAAUCCCAUCAUCCCCAGUAGUUAGAAAGUUAAAUAACAGCUUCUUCUGAGGAAUGACUAAAUAAACCGUAUUAUUAAGUUGCCAUAUUAGACGGUACCUGUCCCAGGGAGGGAGCUAGGUUUUGUGGCACCUGAAGCAUAAACAAUUUGAG
rnacentral:lncRNA from 1 species